rnacentral:snoRNA from 1 species
UGGUCAUUACCAAAGCUACUAGGAAAUGCCGUUUCUGGUUUGCUGUGGACAUGACCAUAGAGUAACUCCAUCAGGCUUCACAUUGCUGCUUCAGCGCUAAAGCUGUUGGAAACACAA